GCCAGGUGUGGUGGCACACCUAUAGUCCCAGCUAUUCGGGAGGCUGAGGAGGGAGGAUCACUUGAGUCCAGGAGUUCUGGGCUGCAGUGCGCUAUGCCGAUUGGUGUCCGCACUAAGUUCGACAUCAAUAUGGUGACCUCCCAGGAGCAGGGAACCACCAGGUUGCCUAAGGAGGGGUGAACCGGCCCAGGUUGGAAACAGAGCAGGUCAAACCCCCCCCAAAAAAUAUAUAUAUAAAAUGCAGCUGCCUCAUCUUUAAUAUUUCCAUAAGUUUAUUCUUUCCUGA
rfam:Fukomys damarensis contig117564, whole genome shotgun sequence.